AAAAUCUGACAGGACUGAGAGAAGAGUAUAACAGCACAGCGGGGUUUCAGAAGCCCAUCAGAGUGAAUUUCUGAGUUCUUUCACAUAUGCUGUAUGGUCAGCGAAUGGAUGGAUUAUCCAGUCACGGUACAUAAUGAAAGACUUGACUGAGUUAGAAGAAGCUGAGCGACUCUUCAGA